rnacentral:rRNA from 1 species
UACGUAGGGCGCAAGCGUUAUCCGGAAUUAUUGGGCGUAAAGAGCUCGUAGGCGGUUUGUCGCGUCUGCCGUGAAAGUCCGGGGCUCAACUCCGGAUCUGCGGUGGGUACGGGCAGACUAGAGUGAUGUAGGGGGAGACUGGAAUUCCUGGUGUAGCGGUGAAAUGCGCAGAUAUCAGGAGGAACACCGAUGGCGAAGGCAGGUCUCUGGGCAGUAACUGACGCUGAGGAACGAAAGCGUGGGUAGCAAACAGG